GUGCCAGCAGCCGCGGUAAUACGUAGGGUGCAAGCGUUAAUCGGAAUUACUGGGCGUAAAGCGUGCGCAGGCGGUUAUGUAAGACAGAUGUGAAAUCCCCGGGCUCAACCUGGGAACUGCAUUUGUGACUGCAUAGCUUGAGUGCGGCAGAGGGGGAUGGAAUUCCGCGUGUAGCAGUGAAAUGCGUAGAUAUGCGGAGGAACACCGAUGGCGAAGGCAAUCCCCUGGGCCUGCACUGACGCUCAUGCACGAAAGCGUGGGGAGCAAACAGGAUUAGAUACCCUGGUAGUCCACGCCCUAAACGAUGUCAACUGGUUGUUGGGAAUUUGUUUUCUCAGUAACGAAGCUAACGCGUGAAGUUGACCGCCUGGGGAGUACGGCCGCAAGGUUGAAACUUAAAUGAAUUGACGG
rnacentral:rRNA from 1 species